UCAGCGUCAAACAGAGACAGAGGAUCUGCAGAUCAGCUCCAAUGCUUCAUGGCUCUGCUAUGUUCCUGCUGGAGGUUACACACUGCCUUGACCUAACCACAUCGCGGAAGUUUUACCAUUGGCCAGCCACCAGUCAGACUUAUAUACUUCAAUAAUGUGAGGUGCUCCAUGACCUAGAAAAAACCCUGCUAAGAUGAAAGAAACAACGCCAUGACGCAGCUACGGUGAUGUAACUGAUCGGGACGUGUGAACAGAAACAGCUGUGAAGAGAGAACAAGAGAGCAGACAGCCGACACCAGACAGCUGAACCUAACAAGGCGUCCUGUACUGUCAUCGUCCCUGUUGUUCCAUUCAACCCUGUGACCCAGUCAACCCUUAUACACAUUCAACCUUGUUACACAGUCAUGCCUGUCACACUGUCAACCUGGUCUCUCGCACGGUGUGUUCACAGGUUCUGCUAUUCUAAUCUUCUUUCUCUCUCUCUCUCUCUCUCUCUCUCUCUCUCUCUCUCUCUCUCUCUCUCUCUCUCUCUCUCUCUCUCUUUCUCUCUCAACAUUGUUGUUUUCUCUCUCUCUCUCUCUCUCUCUCUCUCUCUCUCUCUCUCUCUCUCUGGACAUUGUUGUGUUCUCAAUUCAAUUCAAUUCAAUUCAAGGGGCUUUAUUGGCAUGGGAAACAUGUGUUAACAUUGCCAAAGCAAGUGAGGUAGAUAAUAUAUAAAGUGAAUAUAUAAAGUGAAAUAAACAAUAAAAAUUAACAGUAAACAUUACACAUACAGAAGUUCCAAAACAAUAAAGACAAUACAAAUGUCAUACAGUGUUUUAACAA
ensembl:lncRNA